GGGUAGAUGGCGAAAUUGGUAUACGCAUCACACUCAAAAUGUGACGAUGAAAAUCUUGAGGGUUCGAUUCCCUCUCUACCCA
rnacentral:tRNA from 1 species